UACGUAGGGGGCUAGCGUUGUCCGGAAUCAUUGGGCGUAAAGCGCGUGUAGGCGGUCCGGUAAGUCCGCUGUGAAAGUCGGGGGCUCAACCCUCGAAUGCCGGUGGAUACUGUCGGGCUAGAGUGCGGAAGAGGCGAGUGGAAUUCCUGGUGUAGCGGUGAAAUGCGCAGAUAUCAGGAGGAACACCAAUAGCGAAGGCAGCUCGCUGGGACGGUAUUGACGCUGAGGCGCGAAAGCGUGGGGAGCAAACAGG
rnacentral:rRNA from 1 species